CGUUCCUGAAACAAGGCGUGGAAACGCUGUGGGUCUUUUCUUCCAGGCUGUUCCGGCUUGGUGCGCGCCGCCCGCCCGCCCGCCAGCCGCGUGUGUCUCCGUUGCUGCGCGCGCUCCCGCUGGCUCUCCGCCACCGGUCUCUUCCCAGUCUGGCAGGCGGCUUAGCUCGACGUGGAGUGGGAGUGGCGCCAAAAUUCAAACGAACUGCCGCAGUUGCAGGCGUGGCAUCGCCUGCUUCGAGAAGGUUGGCAGCCAGGAGUAGCCUUGACCUCACCCCAACUCUAACCCGGUGGCAGCCGCGCUGGGGAAGGGCAGAACUACGCAGGUGCCUCUGAGGCCUCACCUUAGGACGGUUGGCAAGCCUGGAGGGUUCUCCAGGACUGAACUACAACAUCCUGGUGUCUGCUUGCCUAGAGGACUGGACCAGUAGCCCAGCACCACUGCCCAAAGGGAGAUGGGCCCUCCUUCGUGAAUCAGUACUUGAGAAAAUGAACCACAGACUUGCCUACUGGCUUGCCCACAGGCCAAUCUGGUGGUGGAGGUCAUUUUCCCAGUUGAGGUUCCCUCUUCCCAAGGACUCUAGGUUGUGUGAACUUGAAGAACGAAGCUUCAAAGGAGUGUAGAAGGGAUUUGAGAUCAGGUAAGCAGGUUUUGAGUGAGGGCCCUGCCUAGUUUUCCACUUAAUAAUACACUAUACAGAGUUUUAGCCCAAAAGUAUUUUAGAGACCAUGAACUUCAGUGAACUUUGGACAAAUUGAGCUCUCUGUGAACCUUUGAGGAGUGAUGGGCCUGUGCGGUUUCCAGAUUCAAGCAGCCUAGUUUGGUCAUCUCUGAUGCCUGCAAUGGAGACUGGUUUAGAAUAGGUUUAGGUGUCAGAGAGACGUGGAAUGAAGAAGAGGAUGUUAUUUUAAUUAUAUUUGGAGAGACCGUCUCUCUUCCUACAAGUUGUAUACAGAAGGAAACUGGGCCUGAGAGUAGAUUCCUUUAAAAACCACUCCCAGGAUGCACCAGAGGCAGUUGGGGAGAUUUAAGGGUAUUCAUCUUUUCACCUGUUGGCAUGACUGAGUGUUCACCUAGGGUGAACCUAGGGUGCCAUCGUGAGAAGAAAGCAGGGGAGGCUGAAGCACCAAGGACCCUCAAUCAGUGUCCCAUGGGUGCAGAUACAGCAGUGAGUGUGUAAUGUGCUGGACAAGCUACUGUCUGUCAGGGUCUAGUGAGCGACCUCUCUGCGGCCUGGAGGGAGACGUUAACUGUGCUUCUGCAUUUUGCUCUGUUGGAGUUCGUCAAAGACCCUCACUCACAAAGACCACAGAGACUCUCAUUGCUGCAAACUGCAAGCAGAGUUUUAUUGAUCCAACAAGCUGGGGACCCCCCUCUAAGCACACAGGCCAGAGGAGAGACUGAGAACAAAGAAAGAAGACACUUUUUAUACCUCGUAAGGGGCAGAUUUGGGCAACAGGGUAGCUGGCUUAUUCUCAUUGGUUUAGCAAGUAACCUUUUCAGGCAUUGGUUGGUUUGCAUAGUGACUACCUUUGGCCUAGUGACUCAUUUUGUUUGCCCCCACGCUGGGUUGUUAUGAUCUGAUCACCAAAGCAAUAGUACAUUUUGAACUUAUGGGUCAGCUAUUAACGUCACAGCUAUUAACAUCACAGCUAUUCAUCAAGGUCAGGGCAGUUUGUGAUCUUUCUCAGAAUUCAGUGUGGGGCGGGGUGGGGGAAUUUCCCUAGGAACUGCUAUCUUGUUAUGGUUAUUUUUCUGAGAACAGCUCAUUUGGUUUUGGCAGCCGUAGAUUUAGUCAUUUUGCUGAGAGUCACUUCAGAGGGGAAGGCGCUAGGUGGUCUUCAACUUAUUUUGGAUAUUACAGCUUCCCUUUGCUUUUUGGGGGAUGUCAGAAUGCCAGAAGCUAGUGGGACCUCAAAGAGUUGAUAGUGGGGGAUGGGGACUGGGAUCAAGAUCUUUAAUGGUUAAGGUAGCCUGAUUGAGGAGGAGCCACGGGUAUAUAUUGUGGAGGCUGAAAAGUGGUCCUGGGCUGCACUCUGCAGCUGUUGGAUAGUCCUCCAUUGACAAAUGGAUUGGUUGACUGAGGCUGGAGAAUUACUCUGUUUGAGGGGCCUGAGGUAGGUCCCUCAAGCAGUUUCCCUGGUUUGCUAAAAUUCCUGUAUCACUAGAGAUUACAGUAGCACCUGAUGAGAGGUUGAGGUGCAUUAUAUGGUUCACAUCCUAUUAGCCUGUGUCUUCCUAUUGGGAAAUUGAGUCCAUUGAUAGGGAGAGAUGUUAAUGACCAGUCAUUGUUUUUUCCAUAUUUUGAUGUUGAUUAUGUUAAUGCUUUUGUGUGUGUGUGAUUUUCUUGUUUUUGUUGAUAUGGAAUUACAUUUUGUGUUUUCUUGGAUGGAGUUAUACUUCAUAGGUUGGAAUUGUCCUUCUAGUAUGUAUGCUCUGUAGGGCUGGACUAGUGGGUAGAUAUUGCCCAAAUUUGGAUUUGUCUUGAAACAUUUUGUUCUCUCCAUGUAUGUUGAUUGUGUGUUUUGAGGGUAUAGUCUAGGUUGACACCUGUGGUUUUAUAAAGGUUGCAGGAUUUCUGCCCAGACCUUUAUAGUGUUUGGCGUCUCUUUUGAGAAGUCAGGUGCAAUUCUGAUAGGUUUGACUUCUAUGCUAUCUGGCCUUUUUCC